AACGAACGCUGGCGGCAUGCCUAACACAUGCAAGUCGAACGAGACCUUCGGGUCUAGUGGCGCACGGGUGCGUAACGCGUGGGAACCUGCCCUUAGGUUCGGAAUAACUCCCCGAAAGGGGUGCUAAUACCGGAUAAUGUCUUCGGACCAAAGAUUUAUCGCCUUUGGAUGGGCUCGCGUUGGAUUAGCUAGUUGGUAGGGUAAAAGCCUACCAAGGCGACGAUCCAUAGCUGGUCUGUGAGGAUGAUCAGCCACUCUGGGACUGGGACACGGCCCAGACUCCUACGAGAGGCAGCAGUGGGGAAUAUUGGACAAUGGGCUAAAGCCUGAUCCAGCAAUGCCGCGUGAGUGAUGAAGGCCUUAGGGUUGUAAAGCUCUUUUACCCGGGAUGAUAAUGACAGUACCGGGAGAAUAAGCCCCGGCUAACUCCGUG
rnacentral:rRNA from 1 species